CGGAUUGCGUAGCCCAGCCUGGUAGCGCAUCUGGUUUGGGACCAGAGGGUCGGGAGUUCGAAUCUCUCCGCCCCGACCA
rnacentral:tRNA from 1 species